rnacentral:misc_RNA from 1 species
CCGAUCCUAGAUUGACGCGCUGGUUGGCAUAGCUUGGAUCACUCUCUGUGCGUCUGUCUGCGGAAUAUUUAGUUUGUGGGUGCCCACCCGAGUACGAUUCGCCGCACAACCCGUCAGUAAGGAACGACGGCCACCAUGAGCGCUGCACAGACCUCUCAAGGCAGCUGGAGGAUUCCGGACCUUCUGGCCAUGAAGCGCGAUGGCCUGGCCUAUUCGGAGGACCAGAUCGCCUUCUUGGUCCGGUCGGUCUCGGAUCGGUCCAUGGACGACUGUCAGCUGGGGGCGCUCCUGAUGGCCAUCAAGCUGCAGGAUAUGACGGACGCAGAGACGAUCGCCCUCACUAAGGGCAUGAGGGACUCAGGAAGCGUGUUCUCGUGGCCGAAGGACUGGCGCGUCGUGGACAAGCACAGCACGGGCGGCGUGGGUGACAAGGUGUCCCUGGCGCUGGCCCCCGCCCUCGCCGCCUGCGGCUUCAAGGUGCCCAUGAUCAGCGGGCGCGGCCUCGAGCACACGGGGGGCACGCUCGACAAGCUGGAGAGCAUCCCAGGCUUCAAGGUGUCUCUGACGGAGGCCGAGAUGAAGACGGCGCUGGAGGAGGUCGGCUGCUGUAUCGUAGGCCAGACCGCCGACAUCGUACCUGCUGACAGACGCAUGUACGCCGCAAGAGACGUCACUUCAACCGUCAAAUCUGUGCCGCUCAUCGUCUCGUCCAUCAUCAGCAAGAAGGCUGCGGAGACCGUGAGCGGGCUGGUGCUCGACGUCAAGUUCGGCGGAGGAGCCUUCAUGAAGACCCAGGAGGAGGCAGGGGCGCUGGCCAAGAAAAUGGUGGAUGUGGCCAACGGCGUGGGCAUGGCCACGACGGCCCUCCUGACCACGAUGGAUAUCCCGCUCGGCAGGGCCAUCGGCAACGCCCUCGAGGUGCGGGAGUCGCUGGAGUGUCUUCGGGGCAACGGACCGGAGGACCUUGAGGAGCUCGUAACGCACCUGGGCGGAGAAUUACUGCUGGGUGCGGGAGCGGCCUCUACGCUGGAUGAAGCUCGCCAGAAGCUGGCCAAGGCUCUGAGGGAUGGCAGUGCCAGAACGGCUUUCUGCAAUAUGAUACAGAAGCAGGGUGUCACCAAGAGUGUAGCAGAGGCACUGUGCGGCAAUGUUCCCGACUACUCCCAUCUACCUUCCUCGGCUCAUGUCACUGCCGUCAAAGCUGCUUCCUCAGGAGUGCUAGUUGGUAUGGAUGCCAUGACUAUGGCGAAGAUCAGUUUAGAACUCGGGGCUGGCAGGAACAAGGUCGGCGACCCGAUCAACUACAGCGUGGGCAUAAUGCUCGUUAAGGUGGUCGGCGAGAGCGUGAAGGAAGGCGAGACGUGGGCAGAGCUGCAUCACGAUUCCUCACUGCCACCCACCCUCCUACAGAGGAUGCAGGGAGCCGUCACCAUCAAGGCGUCGGCGGAAGCAUGCAAGCCCUCGCGCGUUGCCGCUCGCGUUGUCUAGGUGCUCGAAACCCUCAGUUGCAGAGGCCAAUAUCCAGCUCGCACUGUCAGUCUCCUAACUUGAGAUCUAGUAUCCAUGCAAAAUACUUUAUGUUGCACAAAUUAUGUUAGGGCCUGUUCGCAUGAGCGGACAUAAUCGGACGUUGCGGACAGGUCUUUAACCGUUUGAACCUUCUACUUUUUUAUUUUCUAAUUAUAUGGGAAACUGGAGACUUGGCUCUCUUCCGGGUUCAUCGUCAUACUAGUCACUGACCCCAAAUAUACUAGUACAUGGGGAAGGGGACUGUUAUUUUCACGUGGCACAAUCUUCACAUCGCCAGUUCUUUCUCCCAAAACCAUAUUCAUCGUCAAAUAGAAAGUAUACCUAUAGAUACUUAUAUUCGGUGCAUAUAUGCCAGUUGCUCUUCCCAGUAUAUAACUGUAACCAUCAUUAACUAUUCCAGGUACCUGCUGGCGCUCAUCAGGAUUUUUUCUUUACGAAACUAACUUAAUUGCGUUGUUGUUGUUUUUUUUUUUGGUUCACAAGAAUUAUUUAAUGUGUUAGUUUUUUGGUUCACAAGAAUUAUUUGAUUUUGUUAUGUAAAUCAGCCGGUGUGUUAAUCGGUCUGCAGUUAAUACGAUUGUUCUGAUUCUGGCUUCCAGUCACUGUGGUUCUCUUUAUGAUUUCAGCUUACUACUUCAUAACAAUCUUCUACAUAGUGAUUUCUGAUAUUUUUUAUGUUUGCACAAGCUAUUUAAUUAGAUGGUAUGAAAUUACACAUGACCUGCAUAUUAGUCAUCUAUUGGCUGACCUAACCGAUUCAUUCCACUCCUUGAAAGGGAAAUAACUCAUUCUGUACAACUCUUUACUAUGCAACUGGCCAACGUCAUCCUCACAUUCCAGUCUAUGUAGAUUUAACAAGAAAUUAUUUUUGUGAUUGAAAUAUUUUUUGUUGAGUUUUACUAUUGUGUUGUAAUGGGAAAUUAAUAGUUUUUGUAUGAUAUUGAAAUUUACACAAUGUCUCUUUCCUUGUUCAUGAAAAUAAAACUAUUGCAGUGCUAUA